ACGCAAUAGAUACCCCGGUAGUCCACGCCCUAAACGAUGUCUACUAGUUGUCGGGUUUUAAUUAACUUGGUAACGCAGCUAAACGCGUGAAAGUAGACCGCCUGGGGAGUACGGUCGCAAGAUUAAAACUCAAAGGAAUUGACGGGGACCCGCACAAGCGGUGGAUGAUGUGGAUUAAUUCGAUGCAACGCGAAAAACCUUACCUACCCUUGACAUGGCAGGAAUCCUGAAGAGAUUUGGGAGUGCUCGAAAGAGAACCUGCACACAGGUGCUGCAUGGCUGUCGUCAGCUCGUGUCGUGAGAUGUUGGGUUAAGUCCCGCAACGAGCGCAACCCUUGUCAUUAGUUGCUACGAAAGAGCACUCUAAUGAGACUGCCGGUGACAAACCGGAGGAAGGUGGGGAUGACGUCAAGUCCUCAUGGCCCUUAUGGGUAGGGCUUCACACGUCAUACAAUGGUACAUACAGA
rnacentral:rRNA from 1 species